rnacentral:lncRNA from 1 species
CUUCAUGGUGUUUUUCUCAUUGAUGACUUGUUGGAGUUUUAUCUUCAACUCUUCAUUCUCUUUUUCUAGCUUUGCCAUAGUGGUCUUGAGUUCCUCCAUUUCUUCAAUAGGGACAUGGGUGAGCUUAGGUUUAGGAAGAGGUACAGGCAUCCAAAUGACGAAUGGUGUUUUGAUCAUCUCCACCCUUUCCUUUACCCAGUGAAAAUAUGGUUCUUUUGUAAUCUCAUUUUCUCUCCCCAAAUUAG